CGCGAGCUGCUGCCAGUUCCGUGUCGGCAGCGAGUUUACCAGCCACGCACCGCCUGCACGCGCUCAAUCCGCCGCCGGGCUGUAACGAUCUGACUCUCUCUGGCUUUCGGAGAGCCCUGUUUUCAGUCUCCAUUAACGGCCCAGCACAGAGCGAGGCGAGACGAUUCGUAACGGGUCACUCUCCCAACAAUAAUGUCUUCAGAUUGGAGUUACAGCUGCCUCAAAACCGAGGCGAUGACAAAAUCACAGUGGCAACCCUGUGUUGGUGCACAGGCAGAGCUGUGACUCUAGCUUGCGAUCUCCUGACCUCUGUGACCUUUGAGUCGAGAUGGCGACCCACCGAAAGCACCUGGUCCGAGAUUUCAACCGAUACAUCACCUGCUCAAUUUGCCGUGGGUACCUGAUAAAGCCUACUGCUGUCACAGAAUGCCUGCACACUUUUUGUAAGAGUUGUAUCGUUCAGCACUUUGAGGAGAGUAAUGAGUGUCCGGAAUGUGGAAUACAAGUCCAUGAAACCAACCCUU